GAUGAACGCUGGCGGCGUGCUUAACACAUGCAAGUCGAACGGUGAACGAGGGAGCUUGCUCCCUCCGGAUCAGUGGCGAACGGGUGAGUAACACGUGAGCAAUCUGCCCUGGACUCUGGGAUAAGCGUUGGAAACGACGUCUAAUACCGGAUACGAGGCGUGGGGGCAUCCCCAACGCCUGGAAAGAAUUUCGGUCCAGGAUGAGCUCGCGGCCUAUCAGGUAGUUGGUGAGGUAACGGCUCACCAAGCCUACGACGGGUAGCCGGCCUGAGCGGGUGACGGGCAACACUGGGACUGAAACACGGCCCAGACUGCUACGGGAGGCAGCAGUGGGGAAUAUUGCACAAUGGGCGCAAGCCUGAUGCAGCAACGCCGCGUGAGGGACGACGGCCUUCGGGUUGUAAACCUCUUUUAGCAGGGAAGAAGCGAAAGUGACGGUACCUGCAGAAAAAGCACCGGCUAACUACGUGCCAGCCGCCGCGGUAAAAC
rnacentral:rRNA from 1 species